rnacentral:rRNA from 1 species
ACGUAGGUCACAAGCGUUGUCCGGAAUUACUGGGUGUAAAGGGAGCGCAGGCGGGAAGACAAGUUGGAAGUGAAAUCCAUGGGCUCAACCCAUGAACUGCUUUCAAAACUGUUUUUCUUGAGUAGUGCAGAGGUAGGCGGAAUUCCCGGUGUAGCGGUGGAAUGCGUAGAUAUCGGGAGGAACACCAGUGGCGAAGGCGGCCUACUGGGCACCAACUGACGCUGAGGCUCGAAAGUGUGGGUAGCAAACAGGAUUAGAUACCCUGGUAGUCCACACUGUAAACGAUGAUUACUAGGUGUUGGAGGAUUGACCCCUUCAGUGCCGCAGUUAACACAAUAAGUAAUCCACCUGGGGAGUACGACCGCAAGGUUG